rnacentral:rRNA from 1 species
CCUCGUGCUAUGAGAUGAGCCUGCGUCGGAUUAGCUAGUUGGUAGGGUAAUGGCCUACCAAGGCGACGAUCCGUAGCUGGUCUGAGAGGACGAUCAGCCACACUGGGACUGAGACACGGCCCAGACUCCUACGGGAGGCAGCAGUGGGGAAUAUUGGACAAUGGGGGAAACCCUGAUCCAGCAAUGCCGCGUGUGUGAAGAAGGCCUUCGGGUUGUAAAGCACUUUCAGUGGGGAAGAAAUUCUCAAGGCUAAUACCCUUUUGAGCGUUGACGUUACCCACAGAAGAAGCACUGGCUAACUCUGUGCCAGCAGCCGCGGUAAUACAGAGAGUGCAAGCGUUAAUCGGAAUCACUGGGCGUAAAGCGCGCGUAGGUGGAUAUUUAAGUCGGAUGUGAAAGCCCUAGGCUUAACCUGGGAAUUACAUCCGAUACUAGGUAUCUCGAGUAUGAUAGAGGGAAGUGGAAUUUCCGGUGUAGCGGUGAAAUGCGUAGAUAUCGGAAAGAACAUCAGUGGCGAAGGCGGCUUCCUGGAGCAAUACUGACACUGAGGCGCGAAAGCGUGGGGAGCAAACAGGAUUAGAGACCCUGGUAGUCCACGCCGUCAACGAUGAGAACUAGCUGUUGGAAAGUUUAAUUUCUAGUAGCAAAGCUAACGCGUUAAGUUCUCCGCCUGGGGAGUACGGCCGCAAGGUUAAAACUCAAAGAAAUUGACGGGGGCCCGCACAAGCGGUGGAGCAUGUGGUUUAAUUCGAUGCAACGCGAAAAACCUUACCUACCCUUGACAUCCUCGGAACUUGUCAGAAAUGACUUGGUGCCUUUGGGAACCGAGUGACAGGUGCUGCAUGGCUGUCGUCAGCUCGUGUCGUGAGAUGUUGGGUUAAGUCCCGUAACGAGCGCAACCCUCGUCCUUAGUUGCCAGCGGUUCGGCCGGGAACUCUAAGGAGACUGCCGGUGAUAAACCGGAGGAAGGUGAGGAUGAUGUCAAGUCAUCAUGGCCCUUACGGGUAGGGCUACACACGUGCUACAAUGGGCAGUACAAAGGGUUGCCAAACCGUGAGGUAAAGCUAAUCCCAAAAAGCUGCUCGUAGUCCGGAUUGGAGUCUGCAACUCGACUCCAUGAAGUUGGAAUCGCUAGUAAUCGCGAAUCAGAAUGUCGCGGUGAAUACGUUCUC